rnacentral:piRNA from 1 species
UCAGCCAGAAAGUUCAAUGGA